rnacentral:misc_RNA from 1 species
GGAAUUUGUAAGUUGUAAAUUACUCAAAUGCAACAUAAACCAAUGUCAAAAACAUUUAAUCCAAACUGCUGCAAAGUAGCUUUAGUACAUUUGAUAUGUUGUGUGUAUGGAACCAAUCUUUUGAAAUAGUUCAGAAUUAGUUCUGCCAGAAUGAUACUUUUCUCUCAACCCCAACUGCUAACACAAUUAAAUUAACUUCCUGUAGGACGACGACAACGGGAAAAGACCGUAUGUGGCAUUGUAAAAUUUGUCAUCAGAUACGAUUAUAACCGAUGGACUUACUGAAUAAGCUUCGAAUGUACAUAGCUUGUAGUCCACUUGCUAAUAUAAGCAGAAGAUACUCUGCGACGGUGUAAAAUAUAACACGGUCCCUUGUGCUCUGGUUAGUACGACGAUGACGAGAAUCACGUGCUUUCAAGUAAUGCUGCUCUGCAGUAACUGACUCCAAUGCCUCUCUUAGUUCAGCAAUUUUGACAUUGACGGGGUCCAAAUGUUCAUCUUUAGCAAGGUCAUGCUCAUUGGAAAUGUGUCCAAUAUGUAUGUAGAACGAGACUGUUUCUGGCGAUGAAUGUGGAUUAUGAAAACAGAAAUUGUACAUCCCACUCCUUGGGGCCUUGAGUUCAAACUUAUCACCAGCUGUUCCCUUCAUUGUGUGCACGACAUUUCCUGAAGGCGAUGUCACAGUGAAAUCAAUGCCGGGAUGAUCCGAGUUCCAGAAGAUAUCAUGAUCUACAACAACGAAGUUCCCCGAAAUUGUAUCUCCUUCAUACAACACGUAAUCCUGAACACACUCUACGUCGUUUACCGUCACCGAUAACGCCGAUAGGUCGCCGACGAAGCUGAAUAAUAAAAUAGCUACCAAAGCUAAUACCUUGGAGCACUUCACUCCGUCUCCGAUUUCCAUCCCGUCCGACGAUUAACAAUUCGUUCUCGCCGGAAUUUUGGUAAUGCACAAUAUUUUUUGGGGAAUUGGGUCACUGGAACGGAGACGUGAAU